UUUCACAACUUCAUUGGACCACCUCCACUGCACUAUGGGCCCCCCAGAAAUGCUGGGCCCCAUGAUUUUGUCACAUUUACCCCCCCCCCCCCCCCCCCCCUUACACAUUUACAGCACCCCAGUCUCUGCUAGCCAGCAAGCAUUCGGGCAUCAUUUGUAAACGAGUUCAUAAACGAAUUCAUAAAUGAGUAAAUGUCAUAGUUCAUUCACAGAAACAGCGAGAGACACGGGGUCGUCUCAAAGAGGGAGGAGUUAUUUGGCAUCCAGGGUAAACAGUAUCAGCAUCUGAGUCCAUCUGAGUCCCAGUUUGCAUUGGGAGACCGGUGUUUUUAUGGUUUCUUCAGAGUUGUUACAUGUAUGUGUUUAUGUAAAUUGUAGAUAAGUCCAUGGCUCAGCUGUGCCACUGUAUUCUAGAAGGCCUCGACACACUAAGAUUAUUUCUCACUGCUUGUAUGAACUUUAUACAGAGUAUAAGUGUGUCCAAAGUUCACAUGUAGUGUAAUAUGGCUAAAUAAUGACAAAAUAAAAGUAAAAGUAAAUAAAAGUAUAGAUCCACAUAGACAUCGUUACAGCCAAUAUCCAUCAUCAAGAGCACAAAUCCACUAAAGACGUCGAUACAGACAGUUUAUCUCAGUUUCACGUUCAAGUGCAACAGUAACAACACCAGGUCUGCGUCUGUUCAGAUGUUUCUUUUUCUUUCAUCUCUCUCCGUUCUGCUAAAGCUGGACCAAGGCAGGCUCUUAUUUCACUCCUCUCACUCUUUCCUUCCUCCUCCACCUCUUCCUUUUUGCUCUGCCAUGGUAAACGCCUGUGAAAAGAAGGCGUGGCUUGUGUUUAUAUGUAGGGGGCGGUACCUGGCUGGGGGCGUGUUUGUGUCGUAGCACCAUAAACUCCUCCAUUCUCCCCGUAACAAACCAUUGAACCGUCACAGUGACUUGGAAACUGUUUAUUUAAGGUAAAACUCUUGCAUAGUUCCGCUUUAAGAACUGCACAUGUAGAGCAGAAACUAAUGUAAUCAUUCAUUUGGGACUGAAAUUAUUUUUCAUAAAUCUACAGAUGUGUCAGUUACAUUUAGAACCUGACAUCUAGUAAAUGUAAUGAGUGUAAAAAAUAAUUAUAUAGUGUCA